UUCCUCACAAAGUUGAAACAACUUAAAACUUUUCUGUUCGGUUAACGAUUCAAACAGUUAUAAUUGUACAUGGCUUAGAAGUUAAGAGUAAAUACUGCUUUCUUAAUUAUGAUUUUUGAGUAAAUGUUUUUUUCCGAGCUCCGCAUGUGGACGUCAUGACGUCAUGACGUCUUCUCUCUAACCUGAACGACGUUGACAGAAAAUUCUGUUCAAUAUGGCUGCCCUUCUCGAGCGACUGGAGAACACAUUUGGAGAAACUUGCUGAAGGCCAAAGACAAAAAGACAGAAGAAAAAAAAAUUCAGACUGCAAUUAAUUUCAGGUGGAGACAGUAAACACAGGAGGCGCCUGAUAUCAACGUGAAACGCACUGCAGUACUUCGUGCCCUUCCUGUAUACCUGCGGGAGGAGGACCCAGAAUUCUUUUAGACAUGUAAUGCGGACGCAUUGGAUGAGUCGACCCUCAUUGACACUCCAGUUGCCCUUCUCACAGUGGUUACCGACGGCGCUUCCCAGUCCAGUCCAUUUUACUUCCUCAAGCAUGGCUGUUUUGGUGAAAGGCGACUAGGUGAUGCGUGAUAUUCCCAGAUUUGCAAAUGCAUUUGCUUUAUUGUUUGGCUUGAUCUAUGCUCUGCAUUUAGACUACCCCAGGAAGCUGGUUCACACAUUUGCCUUAGUCCAAAAUAUCUUCAUGGGGCUUGAUGACGGCAAACCCCUGAAACCCCUGCCUA